rnacentral:rRNA from 1 species
AUUGAACGCUGGCGGCAUGCCUUACACAUGCAAGUCGAACGGUAGCAGGUCUUCGGAUGCUGACGAGUGGCGAACGGGUGAGUAAUACAUCGGAACGUGCCCGAUCGUGGGGGAUAACGGAGCGAAAGCUUUGCUAACACCGCAUACGAUCUACGGAUGAAAGCAGGGGACCGCAAGGCCUUGCGCGGACGGAGCGGCCGAUGGCAGAUUAGGUAGUUGGUGGGAUAAAAGCUUACCAAGCCGACGAUCUGUUGCUGGUCUGAGAGGACGACCAGCCACACUGGGACUGAGACACGGCCCAGACUCCUACGGGAGGCAGCAGUGGGGAAUUUUGGACAAUGGGCGAAAGCCUGAUCCAGCCAUGCCGCGUGCAGGAUGAAGGCCUUCGGGUUGUAAACUGCUUUUGUACGGAACGAAAAGACUCCUUCUAAUAAAGGGGGUCCAUGACGGUACCGUAAGAAUAAGCACCGGCUAACUACGUGCCAGCAGCCGCCGUAA